GAUGAACGCUAGCGGCAGGCCUAAUACAUGCAAGUCGAGGGGCAGCGGGGUGUAGCAAUACACUGCCGGCGACCGGCAAACGGGUGCGGAACACGUACAGAACCUUCCUUCGAGCGGGGAAUAGCCCAGAGAAAUUUGGAUUAAUACCCAUAGUAUAUUGGAGUGGCAUCACUUUGAUAUUAAAGAUUUAUCACUUGAAGAUGGCUGUGCGUCUGAUUAGGUAGUUGGUGGGGUAACGGCCCACCAAGCCAACGAUCAGUAACUGGUGUGAGAGCACGACCAGUCACACGGGCACUGAGACACGGGCCCGACUCCUACGGGAGGCAGCAGUAAGGAAUAUUGGUCAAUGGACGCAAGUCUGAACCAGCCAUGCCGCGUGGAGGAUGAAGGUCCUCUGGAUUGUAAACUUCUUUUUAUCUGGGACGAAAAAGGGAAUUCUUCUCGUCUGACGGUACCAGAUGAAUAAGCACCGGCUAACUCCGUGCCAGCAGCCGCGGUAAUACGGAGGGUGCAAGCGUUAUCCGGAUUCACUGGGUUUAAAGGGUGCGUAGGCGGUGUGUAAGUCCGUGGUGAAAUCUCCGAGCUUAACUCGGAAACUGCCAUGGGUACUGCAUGUCUUGAAUGUUGUGGAGGUGAGCGGAAUAUGUCAUGUAGCGGUGAAAUGCUUAGAUAUGACAUAGAACACCAAUUGCGAAGGCAGCUCACUACACAAAUAUUGACGCUGAGGCACG
rnacentral:rRNA from 1 species